rnacentral:lncRNA from 1 species
AAUGAGCCUAAGUCUAAUCGAAUCUUCCGUUAAUUGGUGGAGCUUUUGGAGGGAACAAACUUCCUCGAACUCUUGAAUAAAAAGAUAAGGAUCCUCACCCUCACUCCCGGUAAAUUUAGGUAACAUGCUAAUGUGAUGAGCUUUGAUUUCAAAAUUGUUCCCAUUUACGGGAGGAAGGGUGAUGCACGAAGGUUGACUUGAACGAGAUGGAUAACAACGAUCCUUGAGUGAAAGGGCCAUGUUUACUAUCGGUUCUAGAACUUCUAGGGUUUCGGAAUCCGAAGAGGACGAGGGAAUC